rnacentral:rRNA from 1 species
UGGGGAAUAUUGCACAAUGGGCGCAAGCCUGAUGCAGCCAUGCCGCGUGUAUGAAGAAGGCCUUCGGGUUGUAAAGUACUUUCAGCGGGGAGGAAGGAGUUGAGGCUAAUAACCUCAGCAAUUGACGUUACCCGCAGAAGAAGCACCGGCUAACUCCGUGCCAGCAGCCGCGGAAAUACGGAGGGUGCAAGCGUUAAUCGGACUUCCUGGGCGUAAAGCGCACGCAGGCGGUCUGUCAAGUCGGAUGUGAAAUCCCCGGGCUCAACCUGGGAACUGCAUUCGAAACUGGCAGGCUAGAGUCUUGUAGAGGGGGGUAGAAUUCCAGGUGUAGCGGUGAAAUGCGUAGAGAUCUGGAGGAAUACCGGUGGCGAAGGCGGCCCCCUGGACAAAGACUGACGCUCAGGUGCGAAAGCGUGGGGAGCAAACA